AAAUAUGGUUUUCUAUUGUGUGUUAAAGUCAAGAAAUUCUGUCUUCCUAUUUGUGUAAAUUAAAUUUAAAUAAAUAUAUGUAUACAUUGUGAAAAGGUUCUGAAAACCAAGCAAGAAGGCACGUUCCAAAGUUUGUGUUUAUUAGUUUUUUUUGUGAAGUCUUUAAAAUUAUUAGUAAAAUUAAUUUAGUACGAAUUAUUGAAGUUUUUCAUCAAAAGUUUACCAUUUGCACGCUUGAUUUUUGUUUCUCAAGUCUAUUUUUUUUUCGCUCAAGAAGCAAUUUGUUUUGGUACAAGAAGAGCAAAUAUUAAGUUUUCCAAAGUGAGAAAUACUGUUUUACCAUUUCUCAGGCAUUAUGGAUUUUAACCCAUACAUAAACAAUAACAGUAACUAUAAGCAUGGUGAUUUUAGAGAUAAUGUGAAAAACAACAAUAACAAUACCUACAAUCAAUUUGAACGUCGUCCAAUUAUUCCGCAUCCAGGAGCAAUAAGCUACCAACGCUGUUUGGAGAGUCUUAACUAUAUGAACAGAAAAUAUAUGACAACAUCGGAGCCAACUAGUCCGAUUAAUGAACCAGCAAGACCAUCGCUUAGUCUAAGAGCAGCCAGCUAUCAAACUGCCGCUAACAAUCAUAACUUUAAAUACAACAACAAAACAAUACGUCAAGCUUAUCAAAAAAGAGUUGAAGAUUAUGACGAUAAUUUUAGUGCUUAUCGUUUUCAAGGUGCUAACUACUUUAAGCAUAGUUAUGGUGAGCAACAGCGUGUUAAGCCAGUUCAAAACUCAUCAACAAAAUACAGCCCACCGCCUUUUGUCCACAAAUAUAAUGUUCAAAGUCAAUCCAAACGCAAUAGUACGGUGCAUGAUAAUCAGGAACAACAGUUGGAAAUGCCUAUUCCGACAUCACCUACAGCUUAUUCAUUUCCCAGAAAUUAUUCAUCCACGGACAUCAGAAGGACGGUGGUCCCGUUAAAGGAGAUUUGGCAACCGCCUUUACCCUCAAUGAGUCUGAAAGCAGCAAUGUUAGGCCCUCCAACACAGCUAAUACUGCCCAACCGCAUGUUGUCUAGUUCCCAAAAGAAAGCAGUUCAAAUAAAAACCUUUAGAUGUACCGUUGAAAAGAAUACACCCCGCGACGAAAAGAUACCUAUGCACAAUCAAGAAAUCUUGCGCAAUAUUCAACAGAACAAAAAACAGUUUGCAUCUCAAUACUCAAAACUCGAAAAGGUGGACUCUUCACUGACGCUUGUUUCAAAAAACGAAUCAUCCAGAAAUCUUACAUCAGAAAAUAAGUUAGAUCAGCAUUACCAAUACUACGCUAGCCAUUAUCAUAAUCAGCCUGAACCUUUCAACAACUCAACGGAUAUUUUGAUUGAACCAUCUACAAUGAGUUCGGCACAAAACCACGAAAUAAUAAAUUUCACAGAUAUACCAUAUGUCUACGAAAAUGAUGUGUUAUUGAAUGACAACCAAGGAUCUGAACAUAAUUUCAGUAAGUCUCAGAUACUUACGGAAAAAGGUAAUAAUAAUGAUGUCUAUGAAUAUGAUGUCCCGGAUUUAUAUCCAAAAUGCAUGGAUGAAAUAAAAGAAACUAAAUCUAUCAAAUCUAUCAGUAAUACCAAUAUAAAAAUUGAUGCAGGGUAUGAGUAUCAAUCAAACAAUGUUUCUAUGAACACUAAGUCCAAAAAGAGCUCCCGUACUGUUUUGGAUAAAAAUGCAAAUAAAAAUAUAAAGAACACUAUUAGCAGUCAUGACCAGUUGAAAUUAAACUCAAAAAAUAAUAAUUGUUCACCGGAACAAAAGUUUUCUCCACCCAGCGAAACGAUUGAUAUAGAAAAAGGUUUAGAAAAACUAUCAACCGGUGCUGUUAAAGUUAGAAGCAACUCAUCAGUACGUAAAAAUUCACCAGCACAUCGUGUGUUACUCUACAACAGACAAAGUCCAAAUUUAUCUCGUGUUCCGUUAACAGCACGUGGAGAUAAAUCAAGACGUACACGUCUUAGAGGUGGUCGUGAUAGUGCUGUAAUUGUAGAACAAACCUGCAGUCCCUCUGAACAGUAUAAGAAACAAAUUAAAACAGCUUACGUUAAUGAAAAGAGUGAUAUAGUAGUUGAGCUCGUUGACACAAAACGCACUGGCGCACUUGGCGAUAAAAAUGUCGAUGGUGAUACUCCUGAGACGGACGGUAGUGAUGAUGAUGAUGAUAUGGAUAAUUUAUCCGCUUUGGACGACACAGAAAGCGGUUCAGAUUCGGAAGAUGCAUAUCGUACUUAUAUAUGUAAAUUAUCACAAACCUAUAAACAAGCCCAUCAUACUUUUAUCAAACCCUCUGAAUCAGAAGAGGAUCUUGAUAAUCCAGAUUCUCUGCUUGUGCCCAGCUUAUUUCCAAAUGUGCCACCGUAUCUAUCAUUUUCAAAUAGUAAAAGUAAGGGUCCAACUAUACCGUACGAUUUGUUUCGAGUUCUAAAAUGGCGUGUUACAAAUGUUAUGCCCAAAGUAGUUCGUAGUAUUCUAAAUAAUAGUGGAAUGCGUCUGCUUAAGAAAACAAAUGAUUGGAUGGGUGUUUGGGGAAAACACAUGAAAUCCCCAUGUUUUAAGACAGUUCGUCCUCAUCAAAAAAUUAAUCAUUUACCUGGUUCUUUCAAAAUUGGUCGUAAAGACUCAUGUUGGAAAAAUCUUCAAAAACAAAUGCAACGCCAUGGAAAAAAGGAUUUUGGUUUUAUGCCAAAAACAUUUAUAAUACCGCAUGAUAUAAAUCUGUUGCGAAAGAAUUGGAUGAAAUGCUCAAAUAAAAAUGUAAAGUGGAUUAUUAAACCGCCAGCAAGUGCCCGUGGUACCGGUAUACGCGUUAUUAAUAAAUGGUCUCAGAUACCAAAACGUAAAGCUUUGAUUGUCCAAAAGUACAUUGAACGGCCCUUGCUCAUAAGUGGGAAUAAAUUUGAUUUGCGUUUAUACGUAUUGGUAACAUCAAUCAAUCCGCUUCGUGUUUAUAUGCAUCAAAAUGGAUUAGCACGUUUCGCAGCAGUCAAAUACAGUGUUAAAUCGGAUACAUUGAAUGAUCGCUGUAUGCAUUUGACCAACUACAGUAUUAAUAAGUUUUCUUCUAAUUAUUCUCGGAACGAUGAUUUUAACGCUUGUGUUGGACACAAGUGGACACUAAAAUCUUUGUGGUCUUAUUUGGCUUCUCGUGGCAUACGUACUGAUUUUCUUUGGGAAGCUUUACGCAGUCUAGUUUUGCGUACUCUUAUAUCUGCCGAAAAUUCGAUGAAUAACGUCCAUAAAAUGAAUGUGGAGUCAAAAUAUAGUUGUUUUGAAUUAUUUGGUUUUGAUGUAUUGUUAGACUCUGAACUUGUACCAUGGCUAUUGGAGGUCAACAUUUCUCCAUCAUUGCAUUCAGAAUUACCAUUAGAUACACAUGUAAAGGCUCCACUAGUUCAAGGUGUGCUUAAUACAGCCCUAUUUCAUGUACCACCAAGGCUUUCCGCAGACAAGCAGAAAGAGAUUGCUCUCGAAAUGGAGCUUCCAAUGACAUCAAUUUGUUAUGAUAAACGCAUGUACAUUAAUUAUUUAUCACGCGAAGAAAAAAUCAAACAUAAUGUGUUCACCCGAAGAGCUACUGAGGAUAGAGAAGAUUACAUUGAUGCAAUACUUGAUAAUCUUACGCCAGAUGAUGUACGCUGUUUAAUUGUUGCAGAAGAUGAGUUCGCACGUUGUUCCCCACUGGAGCGUAUAUUUCCUACUUGUGACACCUAUAAAUAUCUCAAGUAUACCGAAGGUGCACGAUAUUAUAAUCGUUUGCUUGAUGCCUGGGAAAAUCGCUAUGGAAAAAAUCGUGCAGAAGGUAUUGCAUUAUUGCGUGAUUUUUGUAUGGACAAUUAUCAUCUUGAAGUACCGCCAUUGCCAGCUAAAAAGAUUGAAAUACCGGCUAUUUCCAAUUUGGACCAAAAAAAAUUUUUUAUAUUUUAACAUUGCGAUCGAAUUUCAGAGUAGUAACUUAAGUCUCAAUCCUCACUUAAUUAACAUUGAAACACCGGCUAUUUCCAAUCCAGACCAAACAAAAUUUCACAAAUUUAUAAAUUGAGAUCAAAUUGCAGAGUAGUAACUUUUGUCUUAAGCUUCACUUAAAUAACGUAAGUCAAUUGAAACACCGGCUAUUUCCAAUCCAGAACCAAAAAAAUUUCACAAAUUUUAAAAUUAAGAACAAAUUGCAGAGUAGUAACUUAAGUCUCAAUCUCCUCACUUAAAUAACAUUGAAACACCGGCUAUUUCCAAUCCAGACCAAACAAAAUUUCACAAACUUAUAAAUUGAAAUCAAAUUGCAGAGUAUUAACUUAAGUCUCAAUUCUAACUUAUGUUAUUCCAUUCCUGUUGCAAAAUGAACGACAGUAGCCCAGUGAUGUUCACUGCCGAAUAUAUAAUAAUUAUGUAUAAAA